AUCCUGCUGCUCAGGCAGCUAGGGCAGAAUCAGGAUAGGUUUUCAAAUGGGCGUCACCCUGGAACUCCACUCCCAUUAAUCAAAGCUUUCUUUCUCUCUGAGCCCAGAUGUAAUCUCAUGAUUUCUGUCGACAGGAAGGCCACUCCCCUGCUUCAGCCCUGAGACUGUGGAUGGUUCAGUGAUGUAGGGCGGGUUCCCCACAUUCCAAUCUGUAUGACCUGAAGGUCCCUCCAGGUCCCUUAUCAGGGACUCCAGAUCUGACGGCAGGGACUCACAGUGCAGACUCAUUGGAAAGCCUGGGCAACAGGGACAGGAGUGAGUGGUGUGGGGGAGCCUUCCUUUGCAGGGGAUGGUCUCCAGUGAGACCUCGACUCAGUCGCUGAAGCACCAAAUGGGAUGGGAGAUUCCCAAGCUCCCAAGUCCAUGUCCCUCAGCUGUCACUCGUGAGAGGACACACAUGUAGGAGAAGCAGAUGAUGUGUAAAAGAAUGUGCAGCGGCUUCUCCUUUCCACCCUAGCCCGGAUGUGCACUGACCACCUCCUCUCGACAAUGCCUCAGCGGUUCAGUCCCCACCAGCAGCCAAGGUCUGACCUUCCCUGAUAUCAGCUGAGGACCGUCCUGCCCCUCAGCAUCUGCGAAACGUCUGAUGGCAGAUUGUAUUUUUCCAAAAAAUGUCCACAACAUUAUUUUCAACCCCACAUGCUCAUUCUGAAGCUCUGUGACUCUUCCGUCGGGAGAUGAAGGCUGGCUCUUUCUCCUCCUGAGUCUGGCUGGGCCUUUUGGACUGUUUUGACUAACAAGGUGCCCUAGAAAGGACUGUACAGGGUUUCUAAAAAGCUGGGUCAAGAAGUCAGGACAGUAUUCAUUUACGACACAUACCUUUGGAGCCACCGACAGUCGCAUAAGCGGUCAGCCACUCUGGUGGUGCCCUGUUGGAUGUCUCCCAAGGAGAAGCCAUGUAGAGAUAGAAAAGUUUUUUUUUUCCCUGAGGAUCCCCAGCUAUACCAGCUUAGACAGGUGGAUGGGGAGGAUUGUGGCUGGGGCCCAAGCUAUGGAUGACAUCUGUCUGUGUAGCCUCAAAAGUCUCCCCAGUAUCUUUGCUUAUUCCCAGAGGAGGAUGGAUGCUAAGCUCGCGUGUUGUGUUCUCACACGGUGCCUUUGCCCGCCACCCCCCCACAUCAAUUCUCCCAUGGUGACUCUGGAUCCUGGUUUUAGGUCCCCACAAACAUCUGGGAACAAGCGAUUUAGGUGAGUAGUGCAAAACUUAAGGUCAUGCUGUGUUGCCGGUGUUUUUUCUUGUCCCGCCUGGUCCUGCCCUCUGCCUUGCCCCCAAAUAAACACGCAGAUGCUACCUUA